GACGAACGCUGGCGGCAGGCCUAACACCUGCAAGUCGAGCGCGCGGCGGACGGGUGAGUAAUGUCUUGGAAACUGCCUGCUGGAGGGGGAUAACUACUGGAAACGGUAUCUAAUACCGCAUACCCUCAGAUGUGCACAGAUGGGAUUAGCUAGUAGGUGGGGUAACGGCCUACAAAGGCGACGAUCCGUCACUUGUCUGAGAGGAUGAUCAGUCAAACUGGAACUGAGACACGGUCCAGACUCCUACGGGAGGCAGCAGUGGGGAAUAUUGGACAAUGGGCGAAAGCCUGAUGCAGCCAUGCCGCGUGUGUGAAGAAGGUCUUCGGAUUGUAAAGCACUUUAAGUGGGGAGGCGUUACCAACAGAAGAAGCACCGGCUAACUUCGUGCCAGCAGCCGCGGUAAUAC
rnacentral:rRNA from 1 species